UAGUGAGUAGGCUGGAAGGAAAGGCUGGAGUCGGCAUACGAGGAAAGGGUCUAGGAGCUGGCACGAAUUUAGGGGAACUACACAUAAAAACAGCGGACUGUGGGAGAUCCAGAAUGCGGUCUCUGAUGCUGUCCAAAGGAGAAAUGAAAUUCUGAAGAAUGGAAAUGAUGAACCCAAAACACCAGUGAAAAUACUGCAAAGCCAGAAACGGAACUGGGACUCUCAAUUCGCUGUGUCCUGCUGAUCCACCUAUAACAGUGCACAAUGUGGGCUCUCUGCGACAGGCAAAGCCUUUACCACAUCAAGCACAAAAAUAAAGGAACAUUGUGUUCUCAUUUUGCCUGCACCACUAAUUGCCCAUGUGUUUCCAGACCAUACAGCUACUUCCUUAUCCUACCGGUUUGCCAAAUUAUCAUAAUAGAAUAACAUUACUAAGUGGACUUAUUCAAGAGUGAUAGAUAAAAAAACCACUGCCAAGUCCUACAUGAAAUAUUGUAUAACUAUUAAAACAUCAUACUGAUUA